GCGGGCGUGGUGGAAUUGGUAGACACGCUAGACUUAGGAUCUAGUGCCGCAAGGUGUGGAGGUUCGAGUCCUCUCGCCCGCA
rnacentral:tRNA from 1 species